rnacentral:rRNA from 1 species
CAAUAGCGUAUAUUUAAGUUGUUGCAGUUAAAAAGCUCGUAGUUGGAUUUCGGAUGGGAUUUGCCGGUCCGUCGUUACGAUGUGCACUGGCCAGUCCUAUCUUGUUGUCGGGGACUAGCUCCUUGGAUUCACUUCCUGGGACUAGGAGCUGACGAGGUUACUUUGAGUAAAUUAGAGUGUUCAAAGCAAGCCUACGCUCUGAAUACAUUAGCAUGGAAUAACACGAUAGGACUCUGGCUUAUCUUGUUGGUCUGUGAGACCAGAGUAAUGAUUAAGAGGGACAGUCGGGGACAUUCGUAUUUCAUUGUCAGAGGUGAAAUCCUUGGAUUUAUGAAAGACGAACUUCUGCGAAAGCAUUUGUCAAGGAUGUUUUCAUUAA